rnacentral:lncRNA from 1 species
AAAAGGAGAAAAAAAAACACAAACACAAAGAAAGAAAGAAACAGUACAUCACUACUACUAUAUUGUUUGUUACACCACAUUACUUUCUUGUCUCUGUUUUUUUCUCUCAAAGCUUGUAACUUUUGUUCAUGGGUAUUUUUCUUUACUUUCAGUGAUUCAAUACCCAAUAUUUUCUUUAGGGUUUUAGUUUCUUUUUCUAUAAACCCAUUGUUUCAAUUAAAAUGGAGACUAGUGACCAGAGGUCUUUAGCUGAAGAGGAUGGAAAAAACUGUACAAACAAUCUUAAUUCCAGAGUUGAUCCUCCUCCUCUUCUUGUUGAAAAGGUAGCUUUUUUAAUGAUUUCUUGUGAUAUUCUGCUUGAGAACUAAUUUGGGGUGUUGUAUAUGUGUUUUGUUUCUGCUAAUUGUUUCUGAUUUUACCCAUUUUUCAAUUUGAGCUAAAAAAAAAUUGAUCUUGGAUUGGUUUUUUCUGUCAAAUUCUCAGCUUUUCCACAUUUUCUCAAUUUUUGCUAUGGCUUUUCUUUACUCUUGAUUUCUUGGGUUUGUGGAGGAUAUGACCUUAUAUAGGAGGUUGUGGAGGUUAGUAGGUUUGGAGUUUUGUUUGUUGUGGUAUUAGCCUUAUACUUGUAGUGAAUUGCUUUUGAUUUCUAUUAUUGUUUAUUGUGUUUUGUUUAUUGAAACAAUUUUGUUGUUGUUAGUGUUUUCUUAUUAGUUGUCAUGUUUAUUUUACUCUCUUUUUUUCUUAUCAUGCCUACUUUGAUGUGUUGUAUUCGAGCUGAGGGUGCUCGUGAAAUAGCCUCUCUACCCUCACGAUAUAGGGGUCAGGUUGGUGAAUCAAGUGAAAUUGUAGAGGAACUACAACUCUGCGAACUGCAGACGAAACAACUACCUCUGGAAGUACCUGAAAGAACCAUUGAUGGACAAACAGAAGAUUUUGUUAGGAUAGACAUGUCCACAUCACCAGUUCAAACUCCCAAGAGAGUGAUUUUCUCGCCAUCGCCCAGUCCUAACCAUGUCAGACUAAACGAAUCUCCUAGUCCCUCAUUACCGUGGGCAAAAUCAUCCAUUAAAUCUCUCCUCCCUAAAAUAAGUUUCAAAUUACGAAAUAAGACGAGUGAUAUUGAAAAAGCUGCAAUGUUAGCUCUUGGAGUCUCUCCUUUGCCUCAGGACAAACCUUCAAUUUUGAGGACUCUAUCCAUUAAAAGAAUUUUCAAUUCAAAGAUGAACAGAACUUCAUCAUUGCCUAUAACUCCAAUUGAACACUCUAAUCCAGAAUCAACGCAUGGUGACUACAGAGAUGCUACAUUUUAUUCAGUUGUAAGUAUUUAUAUUUGCUCGUGUCGUUAAUGCUGUGAUUGAAUUCACUAUCUUCUUCUUCCGAACUGUAAAAUUCUCAGUGAGGUUAUGCUCCAUUGAGUAAUAAAUGGUAAAAAAGCACAGCCAAGGGUGUGGUCAAGGACUGGAAUAUAUAACUCCAGUUGAACACUCUAGUCGAGGUGCAUGCACCACGGUUAUUAAAAAAAUGGUAAAAAAGCUGCAAAUUUGGGUAACUCACAAAGGAAAAAAAACUCAAGCUAUGUAAACAUCUGUUUACAUCUUUAAGCGUUUGAAUACACAAGUAUGGAAGUGGAAAGACCAAAUGAAAAAUGAGUGUAGUUAAAACAUAAGCAUGAUUAUUCUUCCCCAACUAGAUUUUAAUAGGUGUUAUGCUCGGACUCUUCACUUUUGGUGUUGCAUCCGAGUCAACAUGAUGUGGGUGUGACUGUGAGAUUCGUACCCGUUUUGGGUAUUUUGACCGAAUUUGAUGGAGAAAUUUUGGACAGAUUCAAUGAUUUCUGUGCACAAAACAAAAACUGAUAUGAAAUUGAAGAAAAUGGAAUACCUUGUGUAUAUAAAUUUCUAUUGUCACUCCCUUUCCUUUAAUCUCCUUCCGGAUUCUCCUUUUGAUCAAGAUUUUCUCGUCAAGUUUUACAUGUAAUAUCUCAUAAUUUAGGCUUUAUAACUCUAUUUUUAGUUACUGUAUGAUUUUUAGCUGAAUCCCCCGCACCUGUAGAUCCGUAUCCCUAAAUCUAAAAAUUUAGAUCUUAGAGGAUCCGACCUCUAGAUCUGCACCCGUAUCGGACACCCGCACCCGAGUCCGAGCAACUUAGGGUGUUAAUGCAUUUACCUGGAUGUUAUAUCUGAAUGUAUGUAGAGAUCCAGGAUACUUUUACUGGUUUGUUGCUAUGAAUAUAAAUGUCUUCGUAAUUUCACUUAAUGUUCAGUAUUUCCUUUUCUCUUGUUGUUUCUAAAUCUUACAAACUCACCGCCUUCUAGAAAGCAGGAGUGCAUCCCAUACUUCGCUCACAUUCAGUGCCAACACUGAUCAAAGAUGAAAGCCUAAAACAGAUGGAUUGCGUAGGGAAUGUCUAUCGUGUAGUCCCCUCAACUCCUCUCGUGCCAAGACAUGAUGAUACAUCAUCAAAUGCAACUCAAACUAUUGGCGCAGGUAAUUUGUUUAUGUCUAAUCAUGUUUGAUGCAUUGUCACAUGAUAAAGGCUUUUGUUCUGCAACUGGUGAUUCUUUGUUAGAUAAGUCUUGAAUGCUUCGUUAAGUCUGAAUUUACAUACCGAGUAAGAAGCAGUUGCUUGGAUACAUGUGUGACUUACUUUUAGGAAGCCAAACAAAUAAAGAAUUUUCAACCUAGGAUUUCACAAUACACUCUCCGUCCCUAUGAUGUAGUUUGACUAGGCACAAUGUUUAAGUAAUAUGAGAAGACUUUGCUAUGUUCCAAAAAUUUCCUUAAAAGAAAUAAAUUCUUGAAUAGAGGAGUACACCUUUUUGUGGACUUUUUGCCAAAUAAGUGGCAUCCAACAUGCAUAAAAUGUUGAUAGUGUUGUUAAAUUUGCCAAGUAAGGUAAACUGUCAUUCAUUUUUGAACUAACUAUUAAGGAGGGUGUGUCACAUAAAUUGACAGAGGGAGUAUAAAUUUAUAAAAAUUAGGUUGCUUAGUGGGUCAUGCUAAUUUCUGACGACCGCAACUUUUGUGGAGAAAUAUAAUUAGAAGUUGUAUUACACUCCCUCCGUUGCAAUUUGCUUGUCUUACUUUUCUUUUUAGUCCGUUUCAAAUAGAAUGUCUCUUUUCCUUUUUGGCAACUCUUAAAUAUCAAAUUUUUUACAUAUGACAUGUUUAAGACCACAACAUUAAAUGACAAUUUGGAAUAUUCUGCAUAUUUUUAGUUUAAGACCACAAGAUUAAAAAAUAUUCGUUGCUUUCUUAAACUCCGUGCCAUGUCAAGACCAUAGAAAGAAAUUGAAACAGAGGAAGUGGAAUCUGAUUUAUAUUCCAAAGAAUCAUCGCUCAGAAUCUGGUAACUAUGGGAAAUCGAUUUAAUAACCGAUAUUUGGACACAGAAUAUUCUGUUAAUCUAUUCUUAUGUAGAUACGCAUCCUGCAUUCAUGACUUGAACCUUAUGUUCACUCACCUGGGAUAACUAACCUACACCUUUCUUAGUGUUAUGGUUCAGUUGAAAAUGCUAAUUUUGGUGGAGACAUCACUCAAGAAGAGGCUGUCUGCAGAAUCUGCUUCAUCGAACUUGGGGAGGAUUCGGAAACUUUGAAGAUGGAGUGUAGCUGUAAAGGCGAACUAGCCUUAGCUCAUCAAUCAUGUGCUGUAAAAUGGUUUAGCAUAAAAGGCAACAAGAUUUGUGAUGUCUGUAAUGAAGAGGUUCGGAACUUACCUGUCACUCUUUUGCGGAUUCAAAGUACUAUUCGUAGAGGAAAUGGAUCCCCAGCUGACUCUGUCCGAUACAGGUAUGCUCAUGGCCGUUCCUUUCAUUUCUUUUUUUAAAAUAUAUAUCUUUUGAAUUAAAGUUAACUUCAUUCAGUGCCUACACCUUUCUGUUAACUUUGUUCACUACUUUGCAACAGCCACUAGGAAUUACUAUUAUAUGUCUCGAGUUUUAAUACAAUUUAAUGAUGAGCGACAUUUCUUCGUUGAAUGAACUUUAUAGUUCUCUAGUAUUUCUUAUGAGGAAAUAGCUCAAGUUUAAUCGCAUGGUGACUAUCGAACGAAGAAAUGUUCAAUUCAAAUUAUAUGGUAUUUUACUUGACGUGUGCAAACUGCUUACAGGGUUUGGCAGGACGUUCCUGUUCUUGUCCUUGUCAGCAUGCUUGCCUACUUUUGUUUUCUGGAGCAGCUUUUGGUGAGUAAAAGACUAAUGCAGUAAUGUCAUCCUACUCCAGAAAAGGAUCUUAAAUAAUGCUUGUUUAUAGGUUACCAGAAUGGGAUCCGGCGCGAUCGCUAUAUCUCUGCCCUUUUCAUGCAUCUUGGGUCUCCUUGCAUCCAUGACAGCAACAACUAUGGGUACAUGAACUAAACAAACACCCUCCGUUUCAGAAACUACUUUCGAUUUCAGUUUAACAGUGUCGGUGUUUCACUUUUUUCUUCUAUUUGCUGGUAUACAUUAUACAGUAAUAUAACAUAUAAACAAACAUGCUUUAUUUGUUUAGUGCAAAGGCGAUAUGCUUGGGUUUAUGCUGUCAGUCAGUUUGCCUUGGUGGUUCUGUUUGCUCAUGUGUUCUACUCACUGCUUCGAGUGCAGGCAGUUCUAGCUGUUCUUCUUGCCACCUUUGCGGGUUUUGGAGGUGUAAUGUGUGGGACUUCUUUUCUUCUUGAGCUUCUGAAAUGGAGGAGUAGAUGGAAUUAUUGGUCAAAUGAGCCACAUGAUUCUCAAGAAGGGGCACAGCCAAAUCAAUCAUCAGAAGUUACUCCUAUGCCUCAGGUAGAAAGUCAAACUCGUCGAGCUGAAGCUGGUACUUCUGGAGUUGUCAAUGGAAGUUGAUACAGGACAAACAUAAUCUCUUUAUAUCAAGAAACCAAAGGAAAACACUAGUUUCUGUCUCUUGUAAGCAAAAUUAUUGUAGUGUAUAGCUAGUCCUUGCAAGUCACAACUGUACAGUUUUGAGUUUAUAUCAAAGCUCUCGUUCAAACUUCAGAAUUCUAAACAUGAACACGAGACUUGAAAUGAAUUCAACUGUAGGUUGUAGGUUCAGGAAUGGCGUUGCACGCAAAAGACGAGUGGUUCAUUUUUCCAGUAGAUGGGCAGUGCAUGAAAGGAAACUGAAAUAAUGUAAAUACCAUAACGUUACAAGGAUCUCUUCUCCUGUUAUCAAAAAAUCAGAUCAUUACUCUUUUUACUUUUUUUAUUCAAUUGUUUGGUACAUCUUUA